GGGAGGGUCUGAAAAUCAGUCAGAAUCUGGUGUGCACGCUGGAAUGGCACUCAGAGAUCAUAAAAUGUAAUGACAAAAAGCAUGGCUAAGAGCUAAAACUAAAAGUAGAAGACUGUGAAAGUACAAUUGAUCAAUAUAAAGGAUCGUCACUCCCACUGAAUCCUGCCCCCCACCCCUUCCCCAGAUGACUAUAGAGAUCCAAUCUUUCAUUGUAAAAAAAGAAAGCCAUCUAAGAUGGUUGUCUAAUGAUACAGGUUUAGCCAAUAGUGACUCAGAAUCUAUUGCAGUUACAAACAGGAGUAUACUUCCAUCUGUUCUUCGGCACUUUACUUUUUCCUCAAGAACAUGGUAAGCCAAGACUUAUUAAACUGCCACCCUCACAGGUGUUGUGCUGAGUUGAACUUACAGAGCUUUUCACAUCACAGUGAUUAUUUGAAAUGGAAAGAAAAAAAAGAUUAUGAUGAGACAGAGUGAAAGGGAUGGGGACAGAAGAUGAGUACACAAGAGUGAGAGAAUACAACAUGAACACAACUGGCUUUGCCAACUUUCUUUUAUCAGAACAGAGAUUGAUUAUAAGUAUUUUAGAAACUUACUGUAUGUGUUGUGAAGGUAAAAGCUUCUGUUUUCAUUACAUGGAGGUAUGUGGUAUUAUGUAGAGAAAACCAGAAUAAUCCCUACUAUGGGAGGUUUAUUUCUUAGCAUUUUUGUGCCAGUUUAUUUUAUAUUUCAUUAGGUGUUACAAUGGUAACUACAAUUUUAAGAAAUGUUCUUUGUGUUAUGAUAAUACCUGUAGAAAUCCACACGAUGAAUCAGAUUUCACCACCAAGUGUCCUGUCUAUAAACUGAUAUUUUUAAAA